UUUUUCUUUUUAAAAAAUUGUUGAAGUAGUUGUUUACAUAUUCUGGGUUCUAAAUCCUUUGUUAUUUAUAUAGUUUGCAAAUAACUUCUAACACUAUGCACUUGUCUUUUACUUUGCUUAUGGUUUCUUUUGUCAGACACUACAAACAAACUUAAAAAAUUUUCUGAUCAAUAAAUCUAAAUAAACACUGGCCCUGAUGCAUUCCUCAAGGACCAAGCUAAAGAACUUGCAGAUGAAAUUAUCUUACAAUUAGAUAGCUUGGUAUUUCAGUUAUAAAUAGUAUAGAGGAGUCGAAAUCAGAUGUUCCCUGAGAACAUGAAAAUAGAAAUGUUUUCUAAGAAUUCAACUACAAAAUCCAUAUACCUGAGUAGAAAUAUGUAAAACAACUUUAGAGACAGAAAGUCUCUUAGACCAGGAGAUGAACUGAUUAAAUGCAUUAGCAUAUCUAAAGAAAGAAUUGGCCAUUCACUAGGGGAUGAGGGAAAAGUAGAAGAAAAAAAAGUGCUAGAAAAAUGUUGGUAUUGCCCAUCCAACACAGUUCAGGGGAUUGAUCUUGGCCAAUGUAUAUGGAUUAUUAGGAUCCCAUUGUUAAGGCCAUGGCAAGAAUUCUGGUAAGGCUGAAUCCAAUAGGUUUUCUUAUCCCAAUAAUAUUAAGCAUUAUUAAAUAACAAACUGAAAGGCAGCAUAAAAGACUGGUUAAAAGGGUGAAUGAUGCAGGCUGCCUAAGUUAUUUCUGCUGCCAUCACUUACAAUGUAACAUUGGACAAGGCCUAUUUCCUCUACUGAGAAAACAGGAAUAAUAGUAGUACCUAACUCAUAGGGUUGUUAUGAGGACUCAAUGAGUGAAUAAAUGUACCUGGCAAGUAAAAACAUACAAUAUAUGGUAUCCAAAUACCCAAAUGCCAAGGGAAAGGCAGAGAAAAUACAUAAAAUGGAAUGGCUAGAAGCUGAGGGUAAACAUCAGAACUAGGAAGAUAUAUAGUGGAAGUUGAUCUGGAUCAAGUGAGGUGGGGGAAGUAACUCAGAAAGAGUAAUUUUAUUUAGCCUCAGCUUUCACUAAUAAUAGUGAUGUCCAGGACAGGAGAGGUAACAGAUCCACUGUAUUUUAUGCUAAUCAGAACCAUACUCUGAAACUUGAGCAAGUAAGGAGGAGAGUGUGAGGGCACCUGGCAGGAUGCCAGUAGAAGAAAUGUUGGGCCAGGCACAGUGGUUCAUGCUUGUAAUCCCAGCAUUCUGGGAGGCUGAGGCGGGAGGAUUGCUUGAGCUCAGGAGUUCCAGACGAGCCUGGGCAACAUAGCGAAGCAGUCUCCACAAAAUAUUAAAAAAUUAGCUGGGCAUGGUGGCAUGUGCCUAUAGUCCCAGCUACUCAGGAGACUGGGGUGGGAGGAUCACUUGAGCCCAGGAGUUUGAGGCUACAGUGAAUUACGAUCAUGUUACUGCACUCAAGCCUGGGUGACAGAGAUCUUCUCAAAAAAAGAAAAAAAAGAAAAAAAAGAAGAGAUGUUAAUACAUAUCUGAUUCUUGGUUUUUCUCCAUGUAAUAAGAGAUGCCAAACAGGUCACCAUAUUGCAUUCUGAAGUGAGGACAAGGCACCUUCAUCUACACCUGGCUCCAUAGCAUGAACUCAAGCAGGCCCAGUAAUCAUGCAAAUGUGGUAUAUUUUGAAAUUUUGUCCAACAGCAAAUUUCUAAACCAAAAGUUCUUAAUGCCUUCCAUUAAUACUGCUGGCAUAGCUAUUAUAGGCCCUUUGCAGACAGUUCCUUUCUACAUUUCCUGCCUCGUCCUGUGUGCCAUUACGUAUUGAGACUUUCUAGCACCCCGGUGCCCCUCCUCGUGGUCUGCUUUUUCCUUUCCUGUACUCAGCAGCACCUCUCUCUUCCCCAAUUCAGUUUGUCUCUUUGUUUUCCUACUUUCUCUUUUAAUGGCCUUUCUCACAAUUUGGUGCCCUCUUCUCUUGGGUCCUCUAAACUGUCAGAAGAUGAAAUGCUUCAUAUUUGUGUGGAAAUUCAGUUUGUAUUCAGAAGAAAAAUGCUGUUUCCUCUAUAUGAAAAACAACUUUCAGCUGGCUGCAAAGGGAACUGGUGAGGUUUGCAUGCAUGUUCAUAUUCAGUUCCCCUUUGUGGCUAGUGAAACUUGAAAAACACAGGAACACACAGGGUCAGCUCUUGUGGGGACUGACUACAGAGUUCCAAAAAGAUGUGACAAGUAGGGAGAGGAUGCAGCUAACUAAGUGAAUGCGAGUCUCAUGGCCCAGUAGUUUGACAUUUAUGAUCCCGAAAAUAAUGAAACCUUGAGUAAUGAGUACAACCCAGCAUGGUAGGAGGGAAAGCUACCCCACCAUGCUAGACUAAUCAUCUUUCUACAUCCUUUUAAGCUCUGGUAUUGAAGAUGUCAAUGAACUUAUCCAGUUCUCAGGAUCAAACCAGCUAUUGGGAAGCAAGAGCAACAGACUUUUCUUCUGGUUUUACUGAAAAGUUAGAUUAACAUUCUGGAAAGAGAAGGUAAAGGGAGAGGAUUUAUAGAAGAUAAAAAGUACAAAGGAAACACCAUGGAUUAAUGGCAUAUUUUAUAUAUAUACAUAUACUUUUUUUUACAGACAGAGUCCCACUCUGUCACCUAGGCUGAAGUGCACUGUCACAAUCAUAGUUCACUGUAGCCUCAAACUCCUGGGCUUAAGCAAUUUUCCUGCCUCAGCUCCCCAUAUAGUAGGGACCACAGACAAGUGCCACUGCACCCAGCUGGAUUCAUGGCACACUGAAUAUACCUUUUAAUACAAGAAACAACCAAAACAACAUGAUAGCUCCAAGACCAAAGUGGGACACAGUGGGUAUCUCUCACAAAGUAGAAUUUCCUUUUCUUUUAGGAAUAUUACCCAGGAAACUAUGAACUUUGAGAUACACAUACUAUAGCAAUCCCUAAAGAAAGAGCCAAUUCACUGCACUGCAAGGAGAAAAUAUAACAAGUCUAGUUAGAACAUUAAAGUUGCAAGCACAUCUAAAGAAAUGUGUUAAAAACUGCCCCCAAUUCCUGGCCACUCUUCUCAUCCAGAGGUGGAGUCUACUUUCCCAGUUGAAUCUGGGCAGGUAUUAAGACUUGCUUUGACCAAUAAAAUGUGGUAGACAUUGUAUGACAUUUGAAUAAGGCCUUAGGAGACCUUGCAGCUUCCAGUUUUGCCUCUUGGAACCUGAGACCAUCACAUUGUAAAUAAGCCCAGGAUGAAAGAUCACAUGGAGAGAGGGGCACGGCCUGCUCAACUCUUCCAGGUGAUGCUCCAGACACGUGAG
rnacentral:lncRNA from 1 species